AUUGAACGCUGGCGGCAGGCCUAACACAUGCAAGUCGAGCGGAUGACGGGAGCUUGCUCCUUGAUUCAGCGGCGGACGGGUGAGUAAUGCCUAGGAAUCUGCCUGGUAGUGGGGGACAACGUUUCGAAAGGAACGCUAAUACCGCAUACGUCCUACGGGAGAAAGCAGGGGACCUUCGGGCCUUGCGCUAUCAGAUGAGCCUAGGUCGGAUUAGCUAGUUGGUGGGGUAAUGGCUCACCAAGGCGACGAUCCGUAACUGGUCUGAGAGGAUGAGCAGUCACACUGGAACUGAGACACGGUCCAGACUCCUACGGGAGGCAGCAGUGGGGAAUAUCGGACAAUGGGCGAAAGCCUGAGCCAGCCAUGCCGCGUGUGUGAAGAAGGUCUUCGGAUUGUAAAGCACUUUAAGUUGGGAGGAAGGGCAGUAAGUUAAUACCUUGCUGUUUUGACGUUACCGACAGAAUAGGCACCGGCUAACUCUGUGCCAGCAGCCGCGGUAA
rnacentral:rRNA from 1 species